rnacentral:rRNA from 1 species
UACAGAGGUCUCAAGCGUUGUUCGGAUUCAUUGGGCGUAAAGGGCGCGUAGGCGGCGGGGUAAGUCGGGUGUGAAAUCUCAGAGCUCAACUCUGAAACUGCACUCGAUACUGCUCUGCUUGAGGACUGGAGAGGAGACUGGAAUUCUCGGUGUAGCGGUGAAAUGCGUAGAUAUCGAGAGGAACACCUGCGGCGAAGGCGGGUUGCUGGGCUGAUACUGACGCUGAGGCGCGAAAGCCAGGGGAGCGAACGGG